CCGAGUCUCCGUGUAAGACCCGUUGGUCAAGCUCGAACCUGCAUACAAAACACACACACAAGAAACACACAGGAAACCCACCUUGGCUACUGGCUACAAAGGCUAUCCAGCACCCCUAGCUAUCUCCCCAAAAACGCUAACUAAAAACUACCCGAAAACACUCUUUUUUCUCGGUUUCUCUCUCUAACUCACCUCUCCCUCUCUAAGGUAAGCUCUCACGGUUUUGAAUGAGAAAAAUGAAAGUGAGGGGUCUGGUAUUUAAAGAAAUGGAGGACUGAGGCUGGGCUGGACAAAUGGCACACAUGCAUUAGGAAAAAUGGACACAUGUCCCACUACGAAACUUCCGCGGCAAGUAACCUUGCCUCCGGAAGGUUUUUACCUUUCUCCCCAAGUUUUCCCGUUGCUUGGUUGCCAACUCUCGUCUUCUAGAAGCUUUGUAACUUGGUCGCCAAGUCUUCUUCCAGCCAAUGAGAGUUUGCCACGCGUAUUGCUCCGUCACUCCUCCAAAUCCAAUCGGUGGUGGCCAUGUCAUCGCGUCUUCACUUUCUUCGCCAUGUCAACAACUUCUAAACCUCUUCUUCAAAUGAGAAAAUUCAUUCCUUGAUUUACUUAGAUAAUGCUUCUCCUUCUUUGGUUUAAAAACGUCGAUCUCCUCUUGCUCGGUUUUUAUCGAUUUUCUCGUACCGGCAGAAAACUGUCUUUCGACCAUGACCGUUCCUCGUUUCGACCACGACUAAGGUCAAGGCCUUUGACUUUUCUACUUAUGAGCAGGGUCAUUACAUUCUCCCCCAC
rnacentral:lncRNA from 1 species